rnacentral:rRNA from 1 species
AUACGUAGGGGGCGAGCGUUGUCCGGAAUGAUUGGGCGUAAAGGGCGCGUAGGCGGCUUUGCAAGUCAGUAGUGGAAGUCCAUUUUUCAAGGAUGGAAGUGCUACAGAAACUGCGGAGCUUGAGUGCAGGAGAGGUUAUCGGAAUUCCCGGUGUAGCGGUGAAAUGCGUAGAGAUCGGGAGGAACACCAGUGGCGAAGGCGGGUAACUGGACUGCAACUGACGCUGAGGCGCGAAAGUGUGGGGAGCAAACAGGAUUAGAUACCCUGGUAGUCCACACUGUAAACGAUGAAUGCUAGGUGUAGGAGGUAUCGACCCCUUCUGUGCCGCAGUUAACACAGUAAGCAUUCCGCCUGGGGAGUACGGUCGCAAGAUUAAAACUCAAAUGAAUUGGCGGGG